rnacentral:piRNA from 1 species
CACAAAACUAGACACUACAGA